rnacentral:rRNA from 1 species
UAAGGAAUAUUGGUCAAUGGACGCAAGUCUGAACCAGCCAUGCCGCGUGCAGGAUGAAGGCCCUCUGGGUUGUAAACUGCUUUUAUCUGGGACGAAAAAAGGGCAUUCUUGCUCACUUGACGGUACCAGAGGAAUAAGCACCGGCUAACUCCGUGCCAGCAGCCGCGGUAAUACGGAGGGUGCAAGCGUUAUCCGGAUUUACUGGGUUUAAAGGGUGCGUAGGUGGGUAGGUAAGUCAGUGGUGAAAUCUUCAAGCUUAACUUGGAAACUGCCAUUGAUACUAUUUAUCUUGAAUACUUUGGAGGUAAGCGGAAUAUGUCAUGUAGCGGUGAAAUGCUUAGAUAUGACAUAGAACACCAAUUGCGCAGGCAGCUUACUACACAGUGAUUGACACUGAGGCACGAAAGCGUGGGGAUCAAACAGGAUUAGAUACCCUGGUAGUCCACGCCCUAAACGAUGGAUACUCGACAUUAGCGAUACACUGUUAGUGUCUGAGCGAAAGCAUUAAGUAUCCCACCUGGGAAGUACGAUCGCAAGAUUG